CAAGGUGUAGUUUAGUUGUAAAAUUUUACUUUUGGGAUGUAGAGAGGGUGUUUCCUUGA
rnacentral:tRNA from 1 species